GGAGUUUGAGAUGUCUGACCUUGUAUCAGAGAACAAGGAAAAUGAGAAGCCAGCUGAAUCUGAAGAAGUCCCCGUGGAGUUUGAGAUGUCUGCCCCUGUAUUAGAAGAGCAUAAGGAAGAUGAAAAGCCAGCUGAAUAUGAAGUAGCUCCCGUGGAGGGUGAGAAAACUGAAAACGGCCUGGCGGUUGAAUCCACAGUGUCACCUCCAGCAACUUCAGAGGAAAAGAAAGUAGAAGCAGAUAGCACCAUCAAUCCGGCGACCCCUCCUCCAGCGGAGGUGAAGGCAGAUGCUCCAGCGGCAGAGGCAGCAAAGGCUGCGGAGAAUCCAGCAGACAACACUGCUCACAAGGAUGACCAGGGUAACGCCGGCACCACGGGAGAACAAUCCACCGGGAACGUCGACAACAAUGGACAGAUUCAUCCAGGUGUUUCUACCGUGCGGUGCAUCUGAAGGUAGGUUCCGUGGACGACGACAGGCGAGGCGAGGCGAAACG
rnacentral:lncRNA from 1 species